AGAACAGCAUCCUACUUCUCCUCUGUACAGCCUCGUGCUUUUGAUUUUGCUCAAGGAGAAGGGGACUGGGAGCCAAGGCACGUUUUAUAGGCUUGUGAGUUCCCAGCGUCAUGAAGGGAGUGGAGCGAUAAACUCCAUCGGCUGGUCAAAUGUGACUCUGCAGCCAGCCACAGCACAUGGGCAAUUAGAAGUGCCACAUCAAUUCUUGAGGCCAUCCAACUCAGGUUAUACUAAUCACCAGAGGGGAAGGCAACAACUCCAGAGCAAACUGAAUUGACGUUUAAUUGGACAUCCUGUGAAAUAAACAUUGUGACUUGUGGAUAAGAUUAAAAUUUUUGGUGUGAGUAAGGACAAGAUGCAGAGAUGACAGACAGGACCAUCAUGUUAGAGCCCAGAAAGAGAAGCAUCUUUACAAGAUCAGUUCAACUCAGCUCUGGAACUGGUACCUGACAAUUCCAAACCAAAGUUCCUCAGAUGAUGCCUUCAGGACUUGCUGUGCCCCUGUCCCUCCCCACAGGAUGGAAGCAUUUUGGUACCACCUGUGCCAUACUUGACUGUGGAGCCUAGCAGAGCCCCACAGACACUUGGAAGAGGAUUAUGGGUCCUUUCCCACAAACCUAGAGAUGGUCAUCACCUGCCUUGGCUUGUGACUACCUCUUCACAGGAAGGGAAGUCAAAACACUGGACCAAGAGCCCACAGAACCUGUGGUCUCCAUCCUCAGCAGUUUUAGAACCCCAUACGGACAAGGCUCUGCACAACCUCAUUUAAUUGGUGCUGCUUUGAGCAGGGGUUGCCCUACAUGAUCCCUGAGUCCCUCCCAGCCUGAAUUACUCUGUGAUUUUGUCAUCAACACAGAGAACAAGAGAAAGGGGAAAGCAGCAUAGGCAAUUUUACAAUUUCUUCAUAUCCACUGUACUCCAGAGCCAGAGAAGACCAAGCUGUAUCCCCAAACCUCCUACAUUUAUAGCCUCUACUGAAGUACAUGUGGAUGCUUGGGAGCUGCACCAGCUGCUGAAGGGCACAGCUGGGUAAGAGCAUUCUUUCUCUGUGUGUGGGAGCCUGGAAGGGCUGAGGGUUUUUUAAGCAUUUUUUGUGCCCAUGGGCAUUGCCACAUGCCCUUUGGAGCAUCAUAUGUGAUGGACUGAUGCUGAGAGGUCUCUGGCUGAAAAGUCCUGAGGUUGCUGUCACAGAGCCAAACUGUUGUCUCAAGUCUGCUCCAGCCACUCUGAGGUUUGGCUGGGUGGGUAUAGCCAAGACCACAAUUAAAAAUGAGGAUUUCUGCAGUUCAUUCAGCUGAUAGGAAUUUCUACUUGCCUUUUAGUCCUUGAAGUAUUUUUAACUCCUUGCUGACAUAUGACCAUAUUUGGGAUUUAUAUAUUUAUGUAUCUGUAAAAGCAGUAAAACAAUAUACAGAUGGGUUUUAAUGCUAUAAUAAAAUCCCAAUGAUAAGCAA